rnacentral:rRNA from 1 species
UGUAGCAAUACAAGGCAGACGGCUCAGUAACGCGUAGUCAACCUACCCUAUGGACGGGAAUAACCUCGGGAAACUGAGUAUAAUGCCCGAUAGAACACUAUACCUGGAAUGGUUUGUGUUUCAAAUAAUUUAUUGCCGUAGGAUGGGACUGCGGCCUAUCAGUUUGUUGGUGAGGUAAUGGCCCACCAAGACUAUUACAGGUACGGGCUCUGAGAGGAGUAGCCCGGAGAUGGGUACUGAGACACGGACCCAGGCCCUAUGGGGCGCAGCAGGCGAGAAAACUUUGCAAUGUGCGAAAGCACGACAAGGUUAAUCCGAGUGGUUUCUGCUAAAGGAACCUUUUGUCAGUCCUAGAAACACUGAUGAAUAAGGGGUGGGCAAGUUCUGGUGUCAGCCGCCGCGGUAAAACCAGCACCUCAAGUGGUCAGGAUGAUUAUUGGGCCUAAAGCAUCCGUAGCCUACUUUGUUAGUUUUCGGUUAAAUCCAUACGCUCAACGUAUGGGCUGCCGGGAAUACUGCAAAGCUAGGGAGUGGGAGAGGUAGACGGUACUCGGUAGGAAGGGGUAAAAUCCUUUGAUCUAUUGAUGACCACCUGUGGCGAAGGCGGUCUACCAGAACACGUCCGACGGUGAGGGAUGAAAGCUGGGGGAGCAAACCGGAUUAGAUACCCGGGUAGUCCCAGCUGUAAACUAUGCAAACUCGGUGAUGCAUUGGCUUGAUGCCAAUGCAGUGCCGCAGGGAAGCCGUUAAGUUUGCCGCCUGGGAAGUACGUACGCAAGUAUGAAACUUAAAGGAAUUGGCGGGGGAGCACCACAAGGGGUGAAGCCUGCGG